ACACCUCAACUCGCAUGGUUCGCCAUGACGAGCUUGGAUUUUGGAGGCUUUGCCGGCCCGUGGUCGGCUCCUCUCAAAUGAAUCAGCUUCCGGUGUAUUGGUGGCGUCGCAGGUGUGAUAACUAUCUACGCUCGCGUUCGUCUGCCAGACAACCUCCAGCACUGUUGGAGGUUUGCUGGGGCUUAUAAACGUCUCCCGAGUGAAGACAGCCUUCUGAAC
rnacentral:misc_RNA from 2 species